rnacentral:tRNA from 3 species
GCGCCCGUAGCUCAGCUGGAUAGAGCGCUGCCCUCCGAAGGCAGAGGUCUCAGGUUCAAAUCCUGUCGGGCGCACCA